GAAAUUAUUUGUUCAGAUUCAGUGUGGGGCAGUGCAAUAGGAUCAGGUCACCAUGAUCCUACGGGUGGGACAUAGUGGCAGGACUAUAGUCUCCGUAGAGCAGGGCAUGUCCUUUUGGCAAGUAAGAUGUGCGAGAUCCACGUUUUGGCUGCAUCUCAAGCAUGAGUGCCAAGUCCUUCAGGGGAUUGUCCAACGUCCGGACAUUCACCGGGUCGGGGUUUUAAAGCGAGCGUGAUCUAGCUCUGGAUAGAUGACCUAGCAAUUGAGAUAUGUGGAAUACCAUAUGGUUCACUCAUUUGUCAAUUUGUUCUGUCCCCUCUCUUACAAUGUUUAAUUCCUGGUACAGACAUGAAUCUGGUACAAGUUAAGCAAUUCAGCGUCAUGAUUGGGGUGCCAGGUCCGUGUGGUCCGGGCCUGGUAAACCAAUGGACCACCAUGUGUCAGACUGUAAUUGCUUGUAAAUCUUGUAUCGGGUGAUUGUUUGUGUCCAGUGUUAAAUACUUGUGAAAGAAAGUACAGAUCAAACUGAGACUUGUUCGGGACCAUCUGUGAUUUUGUGUAUCUUCCUUGAUGGGAAGUUUAUUUGGAGUCAAGGUUGCGUAGACUUGAAGAGUCCCGGCUAUAAGGACAGGAUGCCAUGCCCCUACCAAACCCCAAGACCGACGGGAACUGACGGGAACUGACGGGAUCGGACGGGAUCGGACGGAACUGACGGGACAGACGGGGUCGGACGGGACCCAGACCAUCUUUUUCUUUUUUUUCCUUUUUUUCUGUUUCAGGUGGUUCUGUUGAGGAGGCCUCCCCGUGGCAGAACUGGUAACAGCUUACCGUAUUUAUCGGCAAAUAAGUCCAUGCCCGAAAAUUAGCCAUUCCCCUGCCAAAUCAUUUUUCCAGAAUCAUUGAUUUGGCCUAAAAAAAUAAGCCCUCUCCAAACUCUGAUAAUUACCUUAAACACUACGGGAAGGGAUUUAUUAAAGAUAAAUACGGUACACAUAAAUGUAUGUUUAUGUGGGCUGGCUAACAUCCUCAUACAUGUCUCCCCUUGAAAAGUUGAAAGUAUGGAAAUAUUUUGUAUUUGUACCAGUUUAAUUUCUUGUCAAGGUCAUUACUUCUAAAUUGUUUUAGAUAUAUAUCUUGGCAGAACUAGCAGUGUAUUUGCAUCACCUGAAUAGAAUGUGCAAUGUACUGCUGUUAGGUCACUGCAACCUUGCCAAAAAUUCAAAUAAGUGAAUUUUUCCAAAAAUUUCUUGUCUAGGCAGACCGUUUGACCAUUACAAAAAUCAAAGAAAGGGAGACAUGUUUUUCUUCACCAAACCAAAUUUCUGUUCCUGUUUUUUCAUGUUCUCUCAAUUUCUUGAAGUACUCGUAUUACUCAAACUUCACAUGUAGGUUCACCUUGUGACCUAGAUGUGCCCUUUCAAUUUUGGCUCUGCCUGAUGGUGCGUCCUUUCAGAUGAACAACAAUACCAUCGGUGGUGAUAUUUAUUCACAAGGGUGAAGGACCAGUGUCAAGAGGAAGGCCGCAGUAUCAAUGCAGACGAUGGAUAAGAAACAAAUGGACAGUAGCCAUAUUUGAAAAUUUACUGGAAAAAAAACCAUUUCAAUUUGACCAGAUGGUGUAAAAUUUACUUGUGGGCCAAGAUCAUUUCUGGAAAUAUACCUGGGUAUGAGGCAAAACUAUAUGUAUGUUUGAGAUGACUUGAAAUGUUCCUGGUUAAUAAAUAGAUUGGAAAACA